CUCAGAAUUGCCCCAUCAGUUUGCCUUCCGCACUUUUACUGCCUGACUUUUUUCUUCCAGCUCUGCCUAGUAAGAGAAAGUGCUUCCCUCCUUCCAAGACCAAGACCUGGUCUUUGGAAGAACGAACCCAACUGGUGUCUCCACUGGACCACUGUAAGAAAUCACCCAGGCUGGGUGUGGACAACAGGCCAUACCCUCCCCAGAUUGAUCAAGCAAGGGCUAGGACUGCAUGGAUGGUGGCUGGAAGAUAGGAAGCUUUCUGGACCCUCCGCGAUCGACUCUUUCACAUCCUCCCUGAUGUCCCAGGAGCUUACAGUGGGCCUGGGAGAGAUAGAAUGUGAAAUCACAGCCUUCUGGGACACCUGCUCUGCUUUGCCAUUCCUUUUUGGAGAAAGGGGUCUCUUGGGCAAGGAAUCCUCCUCCCUCCUCAUUCCAUGCCCCUUCUCUCUUAGCAGCAGCCCCCCGUCAAAAGGUCAUGAGAAGCAGUCAGAAGGACCUGUAUUCUCAUUUUAGCCCAGCCACUUGUCUGCUGUAUGACUUUGGGCAAACCACUUAAUAAUAAUUAAUAAUUAUGGACUUUAUUAAGAGUUUACUAUAUGCCAAACAUUGUUUUAUGAGCUGGGGUAGUUACAAGUUUAUCAGAUUGGACAGUUCCUGUCCCACAUGAGGCUCACACUCUUAAUCCC
rnacentral:lncRNA from 1 species